GUGCCAGCCGCGCGGUAAUACCGGCAGCCCGAGUGAUGGCCGAUCUUAUUGGGCCUAAAGCGUCCGUAGCCAGCCGAACAAGUCCGUUGGGAAAUCCACCCGCCUAACGGGUGGGCGUCCAGUGGAAACUGUGCGGCUUGGGACCGGAAGGCGCGACGGGUACGUCCGGGGUAGGAGUGAAAUCCCGUAAUCCUGGACGGACCGCCGAUGGCGAAAGCACGUCGCGAGAACGGAUCCGACAGUGAGGGACGAAAGCCAGGGUCUCCAACCGGAUUAGAUACCCCAGUAGUCC
rnacentral:rRNA from 1 species